rnacentral:rRNA from 1 species
UAGUCCUAGCCGUAAACGAUGUUCAUUAGGUGUAGGGGGUAUCGACCCCCUCUGCGCCGAAGCUAACGCAUUAAAUGAACCGCCUGGGGAGUACGGCCGCAAGGUUGAAACUCAAAGGAAUUGACGGGGGCCCGCACAAGCGGUGGAACAUGUGGUUUAAUUCGAUGAUACGCGAGGAACCUUACCUGGACUUAAAUGUAGAUUGCAUAGAGUAGAAAUAUUCUUUUCUUCGGACUAUCUACAAGGUGCUGCAUGGUUGUCGUCAGCUCGUGCCGUGAGGUGUCGGGUUAAGUCCCAUAACGAGCGCAACCCCUAUCGUUAGUUGCUAACAGGUCAAGCUGAGGACUCUGACGAGACUGCCGGUGUAAACCGCGAGGAAGGUGGGGGAUGACGUCAAAUCAGCACGGCCCUUACGUCCAGGGCUACACACGUGUUACAAUGGCCGAUACAGAGGGCAGCUACCUGGUAACAGGAUGCGAAUCUCGAAAAUUGGUCUCAGUUCGGAUCGGAGUCUGCAAC